rnacentral:misc_RNA from 1 species
AUUUGGUUCAGUUCAGUUAGUAUUUAAAGGGGCUUGAAAAUUUAGUUAUUAAGAAUUUCAUUUUAGUUAAUUGAAUGUGCACCUUUUCUCCAAAAUUACUUACAGGUUUUUCAAUGCUUGGCUUUUUUUGAAGAAUUUCUUUAAAAUUUAAGAAAAAUGGAUACUUUAUUGUAGUUGAUGGCAGGGACAGAUCCAAAAAUUCUUGCUUGUGAGGGCAAUAUAUAGACAUAUAAAUACUCAUUAUUACUCAUAUAUGCAUUCAACUAAUAGGUUUAUUUCAAUUAAUAUAAAAUUUAUUAAUUUUAGACAUCUAAAAUAUGAAUAAUCCAAACUUUAUGGAAACAAUAGAGAAUUAUUUAAAGAAAGAAAAUUUAUGAGGAGCAUCUUUGAGAGUGGGGGCAAAUUAAUACCUUCAA